UCUUCUAUUUCUUUUCAGGAUAGUUGGCAUUGCAGGUUCAUAGACUUGGUCGUUGGGGGGUGGUGAGUCCUUCGGGCACCUAAAACUGUGGCAAGUUGAUGUGGACUGACAACUUUUUGAUCAUGGUGGGGUUGUCAUGGCAUGGUAGCGUGGACUGAGCACAGUGUGGGUGUGUCAGCUUGGGACAAUGGCGAUGAUCCUCCACUCAUGGCAGUGGAAACUGGCCACCAACCUUUUGGGCACCACUUCAGUGGCUUGCCAGUCCUUUGAUGUACCCAACAAUAGUGUAAGAUGGCAGCUUCUGCUUUCAGAUUAUCUACAGUGUCUUCAGCUUGGUUUCUGACCUGUAUUCUUGUUGCAGCUGUAUGCUUCCUCUUCCCAAGCUGCUUCCGAGAUGUACACGACUCUGAAACACCUUCCCUUGUCUCUCCAAAAACAAGUAAUGCAUGCUUCCAGCAUGGGUUCUUGAGAUCCAACACUUGUUGAGGAGAAGAAGGUGAACCAUGGUGUGGGCCAUGGAUCAGCAGGGAAAGAAGCUCGAUGACAGUAUGAGAACAUUCACCGCUAGAGCAAGGAAGGAAAGUAGAUUUGAGACUCUGCAUCAUACAUACAUGAGAGAGAGGAGCAGUGAGCAUUAGAGCCAGUGUGAUUUGAUCCUUG
rnacentral:lncRNA from 1 species